rnacentral:lncRNA from 1 species
CAGUGGGGAAGCACGGCGAGUCUGCUUUAAACUUUUGCCUAUUAAAACUGAUGAUAAUAUUGUUAUAGCAGAUUCCGUCACUUUGAAGCUCAUCUUCUUUUCCAUUAUACGUAUGAGAUGGUGGUAGUGUGGAAUUGAUUUUACAUCAUGUCCUAUCACUGUGAAGGAUUCCUCGCUUUGGUGUUCAAGUGCCAUUACAAACAAGGGCGUUUUUGCUUUUCUACUUCAAAAUUGAAUGCUAACUUUUUAUUGGUAAUAAAUAUGUGUCAGAAUAGGAAGUUAGAAACCGGCGUCGAGUUUUGAAGUGGACAUAUGGCCUCUCAAUAAAUCAAUCGACCUUUCUCUAUGGUUGUAUACUUGAAGCGCUGCAAUUUGAACCGUUAUUCCUUCUCUACAAUGGACGGGCGCAGCAAUGUGCGCCUUGUUUGCCUCAUUUUAGAGUGGAUGGUGCUUUGCUAAUUAUAAUUUGAAGUGGUCUUUCCCUCUUGUCUGAUCUGAUUUUGUGGUGAAAACAAUAGUGGAUUUUGACCCUGGGUGUGUGUGGCUGAAUAAAAUGGUGUAUCAGAACUGAAUUUCCAUAUUAUGAUGCUAAGGGGACACCUAAAUGGAUACUGCUCUUAACGAAAAGAAACUUGCAUAUCAUUGACAUCUGUUUGCAACACCCGAUAGUAGUGUGACACCCAACUAAUUUUUGACUAAGCCUCUCUUUGUAUAUCUAGGAUUGCUACUAGAACAUGCCGUUCCAAGUUGCAGCUAUGAUUUUUCUAUGCAUGAAUAGUCUUUUUCUUUUAAAUGGCAGUGCAUGCUGCAGUAGCUGGGAUAGAUGGUAGCAGCGGUGGUCAAGACGUCAAGUGACAGCGGGCGCACCUGAUACCAAGAUGCCAAGGUGAGCAACACACAGAUUAUAUCUCCAGUCAACCUUUAUCUUCCAGUUUACAGCUUGUUGCUUCAAUCCUCCAUCUUCAUCCUCCCUCAUGUAGCGAAGAAUGGAACAACUGACUUUGUUCUUCUUAUAGCGUAUAUACACCUGAAAGUUGAUUCAGUUAUCGAAGAGUUGCAUAAAUGCUUCCUUCUUUUGAAAAGGUAAAGUGCAUAGGUGUUUUUUCGAUAAGCUCACCUGUAAGCAAAUGUGGUCUGAAGUGGUUUCCCACUUCCCUAAUUUUCUCAUUAGUAUAUCCAAAUAAAAUAGCAUACUGAAUGUAUAGCUUUAUUAUUUCAUCUACAUUGGUAGGAAUGGAAAUUUUAAAUUGGGUUUGCAUCGCUGAAUUAUCGCUUAUAUUAGAAUAUUUCUUCCAGCCUUAACACAUAUGAAUUGAUUUUUUUACUUUGGAUGUCUGUUCUAUUUUCGCUAUUAGAGAAUGGGGAUGCCAUAUGUACACUUGUUUGGUCUUCAUGACUGCGCCUUUCUAAUUUAAUUCUGCAUGCAAUAGUCGAGAAUUAGCAUCUAGCAGGCAUUGAUUUCUGUAGUUGUUCUUACUCAUUCUUUAGUGUCGCAUGUUGAUCUUUUUCUUCUACUUUUAGUGUAGGCGCAAGCAAUCAAUCUUGUUUUAGUUUGAUAUUUGAAUUUUCAUGGGUUUAAUUGUUUAUCCUUGACUAUUUUGGUUUUUGGUACUGCUGAUCAGGAACUAAGUUGAUAAGCAUCAAUAUUUUUAUUAUAGUAAGAUAAUAUAUGUUCCUAUACUGUCAGUUUGUAUGAUUCUAGCUUCUAAACCCAAUCUAUGUUGCUUCAAAGAGCUUUGAAGUUUUGAAUCAAAGUUACAAGCAUGUUCAACCAUUGGAACUAAAUAACCCUGAAAUGUCUCAUGUAGUUUUCGGAGAUCUCAUGCGUCUUUCUAUCUAUCUUUACAAGAUUCUGAAUAUCUGCUUUUAAAAUUUGUAUCAUUUGCUGCAAACACUUUAAUUCUUAACUAUUCACUUUCUAAUGCCCUCUGGUAAAAGGAAAUACAAAUACAAACACUACCUUUACUAAGAGCCUUCCAAUGUCAGGAGGAGGAUGACAUGGACACAUGUUAGAAAAACGUCUGAACAUGGCUUCACACCUUCAUACAUUAAUGGUAUAGAGCAAAUGUAGUCUGAAUAUAAUCUUACGUCUCGAUACUCCCUUGGGUCAAUUUUCUCGCUUUAUUUUUGAAAUAAUUAUAAUGAAAUGAAAGAAAACAAAAUACCAAAAUACUGCAGAUGCACUCAUGGGAUAAACUCGGAAGCAUCAAAAGUAGUCAACAGACGAAAUUAGAAAAAUAAUACAGUUAGACAUGCAGGUUAGACUGAAAUCUGAUUAUGCCCAAACAUGUCAUAUGCCAUGAGGAGGAUGAGUCUGGUUGGGAAGAGCAUUGGCGAGAGCAGUCAACCUCCUUCCUUAACUUCUUGGCGCAGUAGCCAGCGAGGACGGCAAUGCAGGAGCCGACGCGGAUGACGAGGGAGAUGAUGAGCAACAUCUGGCCUCCCCUGCUCGUUUACCCAACCGCCUCCAUCCAACUGUGGUGGUCGGAUCUCAGAUCCUUCCACUGUUUGUGCAGAUUCUUCCCUUCAUAUGUUUCAGCCAAACCAAGACAACUAUCUUCUUACCAUUGUUGCAUGUCAAUUGUUACCUUUUAGGUGCCUUCUGCCUUGAUUUCUUGGUACUCAAAAAAUAUAUAUUUGAAUGUUUUUUUUUCACAGUGAGAGCAAGUCGCAAGACCAGCUGUCGUCAUAUGUUUUAGAAUUUCCCAUGUUGCAUGCUCUGCUGCCUGAAAUGGUCCCCUCAAUCUGUUCUUGGAACAGGAUGCCAAUAUGUAAGUUGAUAUUGCAAAUUGAUGGUUUCUGCUCAUGUGCUCCAAGGUUGUCAGGUGUGUUUUUUAUAUCUACAGAAAAGAGAAGGAUUAUUUGGUGGAGCGACAAUAACAACCACAUGAAUGACCAGUGAAGCUGUAGGCCAAGACAAGCAACUAGGAGAAGGACCUUAUAAAGUCAUUGAAGAACUUGCCUCCAUCUUUUGUUCUCAGGGAAGGACACUUUUGCUGAAUGCAUGUUACUGUGAUGUAUUUACCACUACCCCUAAGACACAGUAGACCUACUGCUGGAAGAGGUAUGAAUCUAUGUUAUUUGCCACAAUGGGUUAGAUUAGAUCCAGGCAAAGAGACACAAAUUAGGCCCAUGUCAGUUGGUACGCUGAUAAAUGUAUAAUAAACCAGUGUAUUCUCAUUUUAUUCCUGAUUAGCAUAGAAUUUGUAAAAAAACAAGAAGAAAGUGGUACCAACUAUAGAAAAGUAUUGCCACGUUGAUAAGUAUUUUUAGAAAAUUACUUGGUACUAGUAGAAUGCCCGUGCGUUGCCACGGGCCAACAAAUGAAAUUGUGUAAACAAUGCUCAUUUUCCUCCCCAGAAACGAGCAUAUUGUACGCAAUGUUCAACCACAACACAAAUGCAAGCAUAUUCUUCUCUCUAUUCUUACAAACAUGACACACCCCUCUAGCCG